AGAGCCUCAUAUUCUGUUUGAUUGUUGUUAGCGAUGAAUUCGAACUUCAAUACCUGCUCAAUAACUAAAUUGUCUGGUCUUUCGAGCACUAUCCCUGCACCGCUUCCUUUUACAUUGGAGGCGUCGUCCACGGAUAAGCCUGAAGGAGGAUCUUCUUCAAUUGGCAGAUUAAAUUUGGAUAUGAAGCCGGUCAGGACUUGCGAUUUGAUGCUCCCUCUCGGAAUGUACUGAAUUUCGUAUUAUGAGAGAUCUCCAAACCAAGAUAUCAU
rnacentral:lncRNA from 1 species